ensembl:lncRNA
UCAUGGACUAGGUCUUGAGUACUGGUGUCUGUAUUUUCAUGAGAGUAGACAAAAGAAGAAGGCAAAUCAUUCUUGGUGGCUGUUUUUCAUAAGGUCAGAUAAUGAAAUACAAGUGCAAAGAAAAAACAGUGUGAUAGUAUCAAUUGCAUAUGUGAGCGAAGGUCAACCAACUGAAAGGAAGCAGCUUUCACAACUGGCUGGAGGAAGUUUCCUGACGUGGUGGCAAGAACAACUCCAACUGUGAUCAUUUCUGAAAAGCAACCUGUUUGCUACAGAUAGAAGAUUUCGUUUGUAAAAUAAACUUAUCUGGGGGAAGGGAGGAAGGAGCAGAAUUAAUAGGACAUAGCAUAUCAGUAAGAUUUCAGAGGCUGCUGUAAAUACCUAGAGUAGGAAGAAGUGAUACAUUCAUUUCGUCAGGGAGGGGAUGGGUAAAAUUUUCUACUGUUUUUCUGGCAUUAAUUGCAACUCCCUUCUGCUGCUCCGUGCAGCUCUCCCUGGCAUGGCCCUGGGCCCUCUAGCGGACCUGUGCUGCUUGCAGCAAUUUCUCUGCCAAAACGCCGCUUCUGUUGCUAUGUUGUUUGUUAGGGCUACACUACUGUAUGUGAAAAUCGACACAGACAAUGUUGCUGAGUUGUAAGUCUGAGAUUCAUAUAUUUUAAGCAGCAUUUAUUUCUUGCACAAAGUACGUAACCUCGGCUAUAGGUCAGGUUAUGCGGUGGUCCUGGCAGAGGCCUUGUUCUAAAUAAUAUGCUAUGCUGAACAGUAUCAGACCAUGCCUACAGAAUCAGUUACUUAUCAGUGGUAUUUGAACGUCUCCACUUCAAAAUAUCAGUGAUUUACUUUUUCCAGUGAUUCUACUUGUUUUCUUUUUCACGUGUUCUAUUGUCUAAAAUAAAGCCUCUUUCAAAAUGUAAGCACAAUAGAAAAUGAUAAAGAAUAAAUGCAAUAUAUUG